UGUUUGAGUUCCUGUCCUGACUUCCUUCAGUGAUGAACAGAAAUGCUGAAGUUGUAUUCACAGGCGUCCUUAAAACUGGAAGAGAGAUGUGAAAAUAGUCAAGGAAAUCCAGAGUGAGAAUCAUUUAACUUGCUUUGAAUCAAUUGGCUUUGGAGAUGGAGAAAGGAGCCACAAGCCAAGGACCACGGUGAUGCCCAGAAUCAGUACAAGGCAAGGAAAUGGAUUCCCUGCAAGCAGAAUACCUGAAUCUGGGAAACUUGUAAAGACAAGAGGUUUAUUAUGGCCAGUGAUUCUGGAGGCUAGAAGUUCGACCUUGAGUGGGAUAUCUGUUAAACAUCUUGUGAGAUAUUCAUGCUUCAUCAACUCAGGAAGAGAAGAGGGAUAACAGGAUUUCAAGACAGGGACAUGGAAUCUGCAGCCUAGGAGUGCUUAGAAGAGUUCUGGGGAGGUGGUGUCUGGGCUGUUUCAAAUAAUGUGCAUGCAUCAGUCAGAUGAAGAAGAAUGGUGUUAGAACAAGGAGGACAAUACGCACAGAGGAAAACAAGGGAGUGGCAAACGACAGCCUUGCCUGCAUGUAGGCUGGGAAUGUAUGAGGUGGGGCAGGAGCUGGGGAGAUGAUGGGCCCUGACUGCUAUGCUGACAUCCCAGGGUUACUUUUAGCAUAAGAUUAGGGUUUGGCAAAGUUCCAUCUCCAUUGUCUUUGCAUCAUAACCAUCUGCAGCGACAGACAGAAAUCUGCAUUCAAGCUUUAGAAGAAGGCACCAGAAACCUGCAUUUUAAAUAAGCUCUCGGGGGAUUCUGCUGUUUCCUGACGUUGAGGACUACUACAGAAGGAGACAAGAGUCAUAGAAGAGUUUCAAGUGGCUGAAUCUGUGCUUCAGACAAUUCUCCCCGCAGUGGAACAUAGGGUAGAAAAGAUAAAGGCAGGAGACCACUUGGGAGGCUCUUGAAAUAAUACUGGUGGGUGGCUGAGGACAAUGUGACCACGGAAGAAUGAGGCAGGAUGCAGAGAUGCUGCUAUGGCCUCGGUAGCAGCAGUCUGUGAGUGAACAUUGAGACGGCUGUCUGAGAACCGGCUAGCAGGAUGCCUGCAUACCCAGUGCACAUGUACUAUGCACACAUACUCAUGCAGAGAGCAAAAGAUACUGCUGUCAGUUGUAAAAGGAAAGCUGUUCAAGUUUUCAAUUUUUAUGAAGAAGGCAAGAGAAUUUUAAAGACACUGGGUCUUUUUUUUUUUUUUUUGGACUGGGUGAUGGGGUCUUAUGUUACCAGGCUAGCCUUGUAUGUAGUUGAAGAUGACUUUGAACUUCUGAUCCUCCUGCCUGUACUUUCCUAGCUGGGAUUUCAGAUGUGUGGGCCACACCUGGUUUUUAUGUGAUAUUGGGGAUCAAACCUGGGGCUUUGAACAUUUUAGGCAAGUGCUUUACUGAGUCAUGAUUUUAGACCACACUGCGCAAUUAAAAAAAAUUUAAGGAA